rnacentral:tRNA from 1 species
CAGGGAGUAGUUUAAAUAGAAUACCGGCUUUGGGUGCCGAUGGCGGGGCGUAACGCCUUCUUCCUGA